rnacentral:rRNA from 1 species
CAAUAGCGUAUAUUAAAGUUGUUGCGGUUAAAAAGCUCGUAGUUGGAUUUCUGCUGAGAACGACCGGUCCGCCCUUUGGGUGUGUAUCUGGCUCUUUCUUGGCAUCUUCUUGGUGAACGUUGCUGCACUUGACUGUGUGGAGCGCUACCCAGGACUUUUACUUUGAGGAAAUUAGAGUGUUUCAAGCAGGCAUACGCCUUGAAUACAUUAGCAUGGAAUAAUAAGAUAGGACCUCGGUUCUAUUUUGUUGGUUUCUAGAGCUGAGGUAAUGAUUAAUAGGGAUAGUUGGGGGCAUUCGUAUUUAACUGUCAGAGGUGAAAUUCUUGGAUUUGUUAAAGACGGACUACUGCGAACGCAUUUGCCAAGGAUGUUUUCAUUGA